UGCUGCUCCGUCACACGCACACUCAUGCACGCACCCUGAUUUUCCGUGUCUUUUUUCUUCGUGACAGACCGGGGUGAUGUCGGGAAAGGACAUUUUCCUAUCGUUAAAGGACGUGGUUGAUGGCUGGAAAGGACAUUUUCCCUUCGUUAAAGGUUCUCACUGAAGGGGAUAAUUCUCACUGAAACUACAGAAUAAAGCCGCCAGUUAAAAUCAUGGAACGGUUGUGCUCGUGGUUACUGAAGUGAGCUACAAGACCAUUAUUCGUUUCGAAUUCACCAACUCAAAGACGCUUGCCCGCUCCAUCAUAACUCCGUAAGUUUUCCCUCCCUGUGUAGAUCAAACGUCCUGCCUGUAAAUCCUGGGUAUGCCCACAUCAUUAAUGAAUAAGAUGUGUAGAAAACUGUUUAGCCAUAGUUAAAGGCCUUUCAUAAAGAGGCUGUCAUGAUUGCCUGUGCCUCAUGUUUAACACGUAUUGCUUGUUACCGAAUACUACUGUUGUACAUUUAAUAUCUACUAGCCGAUUUCGUCGCAUUUGCACAAAUUCUGUCAUGUUACUGUGGUCUUUUUAAAAGUCAAUAAAUAUGUGUGUAGAGUGUACAUGUUUGUUUCACUGUAGAUCUGUUUAAGACCUCCUAGAA